GGGGCCGUAGCUCAGCUGGGAGAGCGCUGCGUUCGCAAUGCAGAGGUCAGGGGUUCGAUCCCCCUCGGCUCCACCA
rnacentral:tRNA from 1 species